UGGGGAAUAUUGGACAAUGGGCGCAAGCCUGAUCCAGCCAUGCCGCGUGAGUGAUGAAGGCCCUAGGGUUGUAAAGCUCUUUCACCGGUGAAGAUAAUGACGGUAACCGGAGAAGAAGCCCCGGCUAACUUCGUGCCAGCAGCCGCGGUAAUACGAAGGGGGCUAGCGUUGUUCGGAUUUACUGGGCGUAAAGCGCACGUAGGCGGACUUUUAAGUCAGGGGUGAAAUCCCGGGGCUCAACCCCGGAACUGCCUUUGAUACUGGAAGUCUUGAGUAUGGUAGAGGUGAGUGGAAUUCCGAGUGUAGAGGUGAAAUGCGUAGAUAUUAAAAAGAAUACCGGUGGCGAAGGCGACUUGCUGGGCACAAUCUGACGCUGAGGAACGAAAGCGUGGGGAGCAAACAGG
rnacentral:rRNA from 1 species